CUGUCCCACUGAGUUGCUCCAGCAUUUUGUCUAUCUUUGUGUCAACCAGCAUUGCAAUUUUCUUCCAGAUUUUAAUUUAGAGUUGGAUUUAAACAUGCUAUCUCCUAUCAAGAAAGAGGAUAUUUAAUAAUUGUUGUAUAUCUUGUACAUUUUCCGGGUAUAUUAUGUAGGAACAGUACAGGAACAGGCCCUUCAGCCCACCAUGUCUGGGCUGAACACUAUGCCAGGUUUAUUAAUCCCAUCUGCCUGCAUGUGGUCUGUAUUCCUCUGUUCCCUUCCUGAUCAUGCAUCUAAAUGCCAUAUUGGAGCAAUAUUUCAGGUUGGUUUGUACAACAAGCUACAAACAAUGGAGCAGAGUGAGUUAAGGGGGGAUUUGACAGAAAUUAGUUAAAAAAUUAAGCGUUUGGAAAGGAUGGCUAAAGAGAAAUAAUUUGUAAUGAUUAAAGGCUUGAUUUAGUUUGGA